rnacentral:lncRNA from 1 species
AAAUGCCGCCCGCCGGAGGCUGAACCGACAGGAGCUCCUCUCAGAGAGGGGGGGGACAGACUGAUCUCACACCGGCUCUCAGACGCGCUUUUGGCGCUGCGUCCCGCGCUCGACCCAGCCGGAUCCGGAACCUCAGGAAACCGAGCCCGAGCUGCAGAACCAGGUUUUCAGAAACUGUUGAAGAUGUUUCUUCCUCUGAUGAUCCUCCAGCUGCUGCUGCCUGCAGCCUUCACCGUUCCCAGCAUGGAUUCCUGGGAUUUGUGGGGUCCUUAUGGCGAAUGCAGUCGCAGCUGUGGCGGCGGCGUGACCAUGAGGACCAGACGCUGCAUUACUCACAGGUUUUUGGCCUUUUUUGAUUGCCGUAGACGUGUGGAGAAGGUUCAGAUGUUGUAAGCCUCUUGGUUGAGUCUUUAAUCCGAACUUAAUU